ACUCCUACGGGAGGCAGCAGUGGGGAAUCUUAGACAAUGGGGGCAACCCUGAUCUAGCCAUGCCGCGUGAGUGAUGAAGGCCUUAGGGUCGUAAAACUCUUUCGCCGGGGAAGAUAAUGACGGUACCCGGUAAAGAAGCCCCGGCUAACUCCGUGCCAGCAGCCGCGGUAAUACGGAGGGGGCUAGCGUUGUUCGGAAUUACUGGGCGUAAAGCGCGCGUAGGCGGACUAUUAAGUCAGGGGUGAAAUCCCGGGGCUCAACCCCGGAACUGCCCUUGAUACUGGUAGUCUUGAGUUCGAGAGAGGUGAGUGGAAUUCCGAGUGUAGAGGUGAAAUUCGUAGAUAUUCGGAGGAACACCAGUGGCGAAGGCGGCUCACUGGCUCGAUACUGACGCUGAGGUGCGAAAGUGUGGGGAGC
rnacentral:rRNA from 1 species